rnacentral:rRNA from 1 species
AUGGCGAUCUCGAGGCCCCGAAGCCGCGGCGUCCCCCUCAUCCCGCUGCUGCUCCUCAUCCUCCUCGCGCCGUUAAUCUACUCCGUUUCCAGGCUGCGCUUGAGCUGGGCGCCGGAGAGGGAGCUGGGCAUGCCGCCUCCCGCUCUGCCGAAGCGUCCCGACCGCCUCGUGCUCGGCCCUGCCGCCGGCCAGGGCCGCCCCGAUCGCCUCCAGUGCCAAGGACUUAAAGCUGUGAAUAAGAUAAGCUUGUCAAGUGAACCGGGAGAGCAUGUUUCUUUUGUUACAGUAUUCACAACCUAUAGUUCUGACCCAGCUGGGGCUGGCAAACGGUCAUCGGAUGUUGUAACUGUUGGAAAGCAUUUUUAUAGCAAGGAGGAAAGGUCCAUGGCCAUUCUUAACACUUUCAUCAGCUUCAUACAGGUGUCAAUGCCAAAAAGCAAUGUGAUAAUAUUGACUGAUCCUAAAUCCAAGUUGUCAAUAAAUCAAGGGAAGGCCUCAAUACUGCCUAUCGAGGGAAAUUAUUCUCGGGGCAACCUGAUGCUUCAGAGGAUCAAGUCCUACAUUGCCUUUCUAGAGCUAAAACUUGAGGAGGUUGACCGUGUGAACUGUGUUGUUUUCACUGACUCUGAUAUGGCAGUGGUUGAGGAUCUUGGACAUAUCUUCACGAGCUAUCCUCAUUGGCACCUUGCUCUUACUUUUCGUAAUAACAAAGGCCAACCCUUGAACUCUGGAUUUGUAGCGGUGAGAGGGACCAGAGAUGGCAUCUCUAAGGCUAUCGACUUCUUCAACGAGGUUCUUAAAGCAUACAAUCUAAAGUAUAUGAAGGCGUCCCGCAUGCUUGGUGAUCAGUUAGCACUGGCAUGGGUUGUGAAGUCUUAUCUACCAUCAGCCUUUGGGAAGUUUUCUAGGCAUGAAACAUUUACUGGUGAAGUCAAUGGAGCAUCUGUUCUGUUUUUGCCUUGUGAAGUUUAUAAUUGGACUCCACCUGAGGGUGCUGGACAGUUUCAUGGUAUGCCCUUGGAUGUUAAGGUUGUCCAUUUCAAAGGUUCAAGAAAGCGUUUGAUGCUCGAGGCAUGGGAUUUCUACAAUUCAACCUCUCAAUUAUCUGAUAUGUUGUGCCUAAUCUUGAAGAGUGGCAGAACAAAAUAUGACUUCUGA